GCGGGGACACAGUGACGGUUGGAGGAGGAGAAGUUCAAAUAUGGCGGAGGUCCACCCGGAGGGACAGCGACCGCGAGCGGAUGGACAACCGGGACCGACAGAGCCUCAGAAGUGAAACGAUUCAAGUUUAGGAUGGAAGACAGGAAGAGGAAGCCAGCGAGGAUGAAAAGCGAGGAGAGCAAAAGGAAGACCUCACACAUCCCGUCAGGAUCAGCUGAGGAUGGAGGUGACCACGCAAGAGACGUGAUUGAAGGCAAAGGUUCAGCAAAUGGAGAGGGGGUCUGGUCAAAAAAGGAGGCGUCUCACUUGGUGAAAACCAAGACCUGAAAACAUCUAAACACGCUCAAAAUUGGAUGGCACUGCGGGUCACCCUUUCCCUAAUCGUAACGUUGUGAUUUUUCAUGCUGAGUUCUGUCAGAAACAGAGCAGAAGACAUCGAGGGCACCAUUGAGAUACAUCAGGCGCAUGGUCUGCAUGCAGCGUAAAUUCUUCAUCCCAGAAGAGUGUGUCAGCGAUCUACCACAUAUAAGAACAAGAAUUAGGAGCAGGAGUAGGCCAUUCGGCCCCUCGAGCCUGCCCUGGCAUUCGACAAGAUCAUGGCUGAUCUUCAGCCCUAACUCUAAUUAUCUGUUCUAUCCCCUAAACUCUCUAUUUUUAAAAAAAUCUUUCAGUCUCUGCCGUGAAGAUCUUCACGUAUUGUACUGUAGCAGAAAAGGGGUUUAUGCAAACAGGAACGUCUCCAGCAAUCGAUCUUAGUAGAGUUAUUGUACCAAUGUACCGAAUGCUAAAAGAAUUUCACAACGUCAAACUGCACCAGCCAUCACACCCAGGAGAGAGACCCUAUAACAGUGCCGAAUGUGGAAAGACAUCCACACGUUUCGAGCUUCUACAGAUACACCAUCGAACGCACAGGAGAGAGACCGAAUCACCGUGCUGACUGUGGUUGAGUUUCACACGUUCAUGGCAGCUCCAGAGACACCAUCGAUCACACCCAGGAGCGAAUGUAUAUGUUUCCCGAUUGUGAAAAGUGUUUAAUAUCUUCAGAAGUCUCAAAGACAGCCAUCACACAGAGACGAGAGAAAGAAUAAAGUAACAACUUGUAAGCUGUACUUCCAAACAUACUAAAGAGGGCCCGUGGGAGAGACUGUGUUAAUGUCUUGAAUGUGGGAAGAGAUUUGCUGUUUCCAGCAGACGAAAUUUCAGAAAUGCCUUGAAAGACCGUUACUAUCGGAAAGGUUUCCAGAAGACGCUGCUGUUCGCAGCCAACAAGAGAAGCUGCUGUGAGACAAACAAGAACAUUACAAUUGUGAGGAAGAGGAUAUAUAUCCACUAGAUCCAACAGCGACUCAUAGUUGACGCACAAGUACGGCAGUUGGUCCCCAUUUCUCCUGACCAUGUGCUGGAGCGCCACGAUCUACUGAAGUACCUAACACACGUGGCUGUUGUGCCCAUGUGAGCUAUCACCAGGAUGUGUGCCUCCUGCCGAAUAUAACAGAAUGGCACGGUGAGAAAUCAGAAGUGUGACCCCACUUAACUCGAGUUGCGACCUCCACCGUCACUGCUAACAUCAAGACUCGAGCUUGGAGCCGACCGGUGUGACUAGAGUGAGCCGACACCAGAGUGGGAUGGAAUUGGGGUAUUUUUGAUGAGAAAUCCCCGGUUUCAAGCCGAGUAUUAUCUUCGCUAUAAAACGAAGCUCAUUGGCAGCCUGUAACACAAGGAGAAAGAGAGGGCGAGAGAAAUAGACAGAAGAAUGACGGCACUGCAGCGCAUAGUCGAAUAUGAUCUGCGUCAGGAGGUGGGAGUGGCCCACACGAGGCAACCUGAAACCCCAAAGCCUCAGGAGGCGGUGAAGUUGACGGCCGUUCACCUCCACCCUGGGGUGUCUGACCCGCUGGCCUCCAGCGCCCGCAAAUCUCUCCCUGACAUCACUGUCUGUGUGCAGACCUGCGAAGGGAAGCAGAGGGCUCUGCAGCUUCCAAUGCAUCUGAGAGUCUACGAGCUGAAGAAGGCCAUAUCCAGGGAAAUGGGAAUCCCGGUACAAUCCCAGAUCCUCUACUGGAAAUCUUCGGAGCUGAAGAAAAUGAAGAAGCUUUGCGACAUUACCAUGAAGGAUAGCAUUUGCGUCACUGUGGUGCAAAAGUGCCUCGGAGGCUGAUGUGUGGAGACUGAAUCUCUCACUUCCCUAUCCUGUUUGUGCUCGCUUUCCGCACACUGGAGAUUUCUCCUCUAACCCCAUUCCCCGGCUCUCUCUGUCUGCACUUGUGCUCGGUACCCCGCACUGGAGCUGUAUUCUCUAACCACAUUCCCCAGCUCACUGCGUCUCCCUCUCUGUCAUGUUUUUGCUAAUGAUGGCGACAAUAAAUUGUGUUUGACACUUAUGCUGUUGGCAGAUUUUCUCGAUGCUUGUUAUGUGCCGUGAUUAACAAGGAUUAAAUAUGUGAAAAUAGAAGAUA